AGAGUUUGAUCCUGGCUCAGAUUGAACGCUGGAGGCGUGCUUAACACAUGCAAGUCGUGCGAGAAAGGGACUUCGGUCCUGAGUAGAGCGGCGCACGGGUGAGUAACGCGUGGGUAAUCUCCCCUGGUGAUCGGGAUAACAGCGGGAAACUGCUGCUAAUACCGGAUAAUCUUCAUGUUUAACUUCAUGGGGUAAAGGUGGCCUCUGCUUGCAAGCUACCACAUCAGGAUGAGCCCGCGUCUCAUUAGCUAGUUGGUAGGGUAAUGGCCUACCAAGGCUACGAUGAGUAGCUGGUCUGAGAGGAUGACCAGCCACACUGGGACUGGAACACGGCCCAGACUCCUACGGGAGGCAGCAGUGGGGAAUAUUGCGCAAUGGGCGAAAGCCUGACGCAGCGACGCCUCGUGAGGGAUGAAGGUCUUCGGAUCGUAAACUUCUAUCAACAGGGACGAAAAAAAUGACGGUACCUGAAUAAGAAGCCCCGGCUAACUACGUGCCAGCAGCCGCGGUAAUACGUAGGGGGCAAGCGUUAUCCGGAAUUACUGGGUGUAAAGGGAGAGUAGGCGGCAUGAUAAGUUAGAUGUGAAAGCCUUGGGCUUAACCCGAGGAUUGCAUUUAAAACUAUCAAGCUAGAGUACAGGAGAGGUAAGUGGAAUUCCUAGUGUAGCGGUGAAAUGCGUAGAUAUUAGGAAGAACACCAGUGGCGAAGGCGACUUACUGGACUGAAACUGACGCUGAGGCACGAAAGCGUGGGGAGCAAACAGGAUUAGAUACCCUGGUAGUCCACGCCGUAAACGAUGAGUGCUAGGUGUCGGGGGUCAAACCUCGGUGCCGCAGUUAACACAUUAAGCACUCCGCCUGGGGAGUACGGUGGCAACACUGAAACUCAAAGGAAUUGACGG
rnacentral:rRNA from 1 species